rnacentral:rRNA from 1 species
AACGAACGCUGGCGGCAUGCCUAACACAUGCAAGUCGAACGAGACCUUCGGGUCUAGUGGCGCACGGGUGCGUAACGCGUGGGAACCUGCCCUUAGGUUCGGAAUAACUCCCCGAAAGGGGUGCUAAUACCGGAUAAUGUCUUCGGACCAAAGAUUUAUCGCCUUUGGAUGGGCCCGCGUUGGAUUAGCUAGUUGGUAGGGUAAAAGCCUACCAAGGCGACGAUCCAUAGCUGGUCUGAGAGGAUGAUCAGCCACACUGGGACUGAGACGCGGCCCAGACUCCUACGGGAGGCGGCAGUGGGGAAUAUUGGACAGUGGGCGGAAGCCUGAUGCAGCAAUGCCGCGUGAGUGAUGAAGGCCUUAGAGUUGUAAAGCUCUUUUACCCGGGAUGAUAAUGACAGUACCGGGAGAAUAAGCUCCGGCUAACUCCGUG